rnacentral:rRNA from 1 species
UACGGGGGGGGCAAGCGUUGUUCGGAAUUACUGGGCGUAAAGGGCUCGUAGGCGGCCAACUAAGUCAGACGUGAAAUCCCUCGGCUUAACCGGGGAACUGCGUCUGAUACUGGAUGGCUAGAGGUUGGGAGAGGGAUGCGGAAUUCCAGGUGUAGCGGUGAAAUGCGUAGAUAUCUGGAGGAACACCGGUGGCGAAGGCGGAUCUCUGGGCCGUAACUGACGCUGAGGAGCGAAAGCAUGGGGAGCGAACAGG